AGCUCAGUCGGUAGAGCACUCGGCUGUUAACCGAUAGGUCGUAGGUUCGAGUCCUACAUUGGC
rnacentral:tRNA from 1 species